UCUACCAAACCCUACGAAAGAAAGGCUUUCUCUCAACAUUUCUUCCCUUUCUUCCUUUCUCAAUCUCAUCAAUUUCUUCCCUCUCUUCUCUGAUCAGUCGUCAUCCCCACCAUCACAGCCAUCUCUCAUACCCAGCGCGUGCUCGUUCGUCGUCGUGUUUCUUGUAUCAUUUAAAAAAUCUUCAUUCUCUCACUUUGCAUCUAACCAUUAGGAUGUGGCGCAAAAUUUCCUGUUCAAUGGCAUUGACGAGCUCGGAAGCAAAAGGUUUCUGAAUUACUUUCCAGAGUUUCGCUGCGAACAUGGUACAAUCAACACGAAACGUAGUAUGGCAGGAAAGUCUUACGAACAUCGACCUUGGGAUGAAAGAGGUGUAACUUGUACAUUAGACUGAGUUCAGAGUUUGUUAAGUUAUUGUUUGCACGCAAGUAGUUGGAUGCACUGCCAUUGAAGUGAUCAAUUUUUCAAUGAGCCACAACAAUUUUUGAAGUAAGAGUGAGAAACAACCAGUUCCAUGAAAGACCACUCGUGGGCAUUUGAAUUUAUGGGCUGUUUGAGCAGUUCAAUACAAAUACUUAUCUGAAAUUAUACAAGUGGGAGUAAGAUGGUGAUGAUUCAAGAAUUGCUCUAAUGGCUGUUGAAGUAAAGACAGAGCUUUGUAGAAAUUUCUAAGAAGGCUACGAGAUGACAGAGUGUCGAGAUUCUGAAUGAAGUGCCCUCGUCAAUUGGAUUCUGUAGGGUGUGGGUACUACGUGCAAAAGUACAUACAUGAGAUAGUGCAUAAUUCUAGUACUCCUAUUACUAGCCUUUUCAAUACCAAAAGUGCAUAUAGGCAAGAGGAGAUUGACGAGAUUCAAACCAAAUGGGCAUCUUUUGUUAGCAGAUUUGUGUAAGCUUUUAAAUGUUUUUUUUUUUUGGUCCAGUUAAGUUAGUAGUUGAUUUUUGUAGUUAAGUUAAUAGUUGGUCGAGUUAAGUUAAGUUUUUGUAGGGACAGGCAGUCCUAUAGUUUUUUGAAGGGCAGGUGGUCCCAUACUAAUUGUUGUUUGUUAGAUAGUUUGUACGUAUCCUUUAGUUAGUGGAGGAACUUUUUGUUGUACAUAUACAUUGGUUAUUAAUCACGAUCUUAUAUAUUAUCUUUA